GGCUGGUCUCAUGGCAGUGGGUUAUCAGAACUUAUUAACAUUAAUGUCACUAAAGUUGGUAUACCACCCCCCCACACACACACUAAUAAAUUUGACUGGCUUAAA
rnacentral:Y_RNA from 1 species